ensembl:lncRNA G protein-coupled receptor 160
AUGGCCCCUGCCCAUCCUGCAGAUAUAGGAGCUCCUUGGGGUUGGGGCUGGGGCCUCAAGGGCUGGUACGCGGAAGGGGGUCUCACCCAGCGGCGGGCGGCUCCCGCUCUCCCCGUCCUCCAUCGCCUUUCGCCCCCCCGCCGGCAGGCGGCGCCCCUCCGUCCGGCUUCCCGCCGGGGUCGCGACGGGGCGUGCGCGCUCAAAGGCUGCCCGGCUCGGACGCCCGCACUUCCUGGUGGGAGCGGGCCUAACGGCGGGGUCCCCCUCGGGUCCCAGGGCCCGCGCUUGCUGCCCCCGCCCCUCCUCCUGGGAGCGCUCGGGGCGGAGCCGGCCGGGCGCGCUGGGCUCCCGCCCCUCUACCGGCGGUCACCUGGGGCCGGGCGCAGCAGGUGUCUGGUCUGGCGUCCCGAGCCGGCGACGCGGAGCGCGAGCCCGGAGCCUCGACGCGCCGGGUGGCCCCGGGAGGUGUCGGCAGGGCCCAACCCCGGAAUUCCAGAGGCGACCGCAAGGACCCAGCCGGCGGAGAAACGUCCAGCUGGGAGGAAACGUGCUCGCUUCGCCCCACCUUGUGCAAAUGACUCGGAGCUUAGUCACAUGGCAUUCUGGAAUGCCAGGUACCAAAAGUAAGAUCACUGAAGGCAGUACAACUGAGAUGAUCCGUCAAGACAGACCUGCUGCAGAAAGCAGAGUAAGUAUGUUAAGUGUCAUGUGUUGCUAAGAAUUAAUUGGGUUUGUUGUUUAUUUGAGAGAGAACUCGAGGCAGGGGGGAGGGCAGAGGGAGAGGGACAAGCAGAGUCCCUGCUGAGCUCAGAGCCUAACACAGGGCCACAGGGCUCUCACUCAAUCCCAGGACUCUGAGAUCAUGACCUGAGCUGAAAUCAAGAGUCAGAUGCUUAACCAGCUUAGCCACCCAGGUGCCCCUGGGCUUUAGACAGGAACCCAGAGACUGGAUCAGUGAAAAGAAAUCAUGGUUUGUUUCCUGCUAAUUCUUCUAAACUGGCCAGAUCGAAAAGCCUAAAGAUGCCUUAAAAGGACUUCCAUAUUAACUAUUCACUCUGUAUAUGAAACAUAUGAGUUGAUUCAUACAUAGUUUAAAAAAAUCAUUCAGGAAAAGAGCCAUUAUCUUAUAAAUCUCUGGACCCCUGCAGUUAUUGUGAACGUUUUUCAAGGGAAAAUUCAGGGCAGGUAGCCUGUCACCGGAUUUCUUGUCUUGUCUUGGGAGGUUUAAAGAACAAAAUACUGGAAUUUUGAGUACUUUCAGUGGUUUAUGGGGGAAGCGUGGUGCAAAACUGGUAUCACGAGAAAGUUUUGAAUGGUUUCCAGGAUCACGAUAUUCAGGCACCGGUGCAAAACGACUAGAACCUCUUGUUCCGAUAUACUUCAUUUUGAUUGCUUUUUAUUGCCUCGAGUUACAUAUCUUCCCAGGGCCUUUUCCCCCUCAUCUCUAGUUUCUUACAGCUUUCUGAAUCUCUUACAUGUUCAUUUCAAACUUGUCUUUCUUCUACUCCUCUUCUAAAGAGGUUCCUGGCUGGUGCCUUGGUGGCCAUAGCUGACCAUCCUUCUCGCCGACUUUCUUCUUCCAGGGACUAGCCUGCUUUUCUGUCCUUCCAGUUGGCCCCUCUCUGAGAGCCAGUGAGGCAGUGGGGAUGCUCACCACUUAAAAUGGAUUCCUUAGCUUUAUUUAAUUUCGGAUGAGUUAUAAAGGAUACAGAUAAUUCUGUUUCUUUUAUCCUAAAGAUGUAUUUCUUAGAAUGGGAUCUUUAUAAAUAUGAACCUACUCUAUUCACCCUCUUCACACCCCUUCUAAACCAACAUCAGCUAUUUAAAACAGCCUGGUUUUUUUCUUGGCACAAGGAAGACUUCAUAUAUUAUCAUUCUAUCUUGGCUUCCUUAUCCAAACACCACCACUUAUAAAGCCAGUGGCAUUUGUCGAGGUGGUAGCCAUGAGUCAAACCUUUGUACAUAAAAUCUGAAUGGAACUUUUUGGGAGAGGGUCAAGUUAAACUAUGUAAUUUAAACUAUAUAUAUAAUUUGGGGGGAAAAUUGAGCAUACAAAAGAACUUGUUUCAUUGGUUCUUUUAUAGUUAUGAAAAUAGGUAUUUUUUUUAAAAGAUUUUAUUUAUUUGACAGAGAUAGAGACAGCCAGUGAGAG